UACGAAGGGAGCUAGCGUUGUUCGGAAUUACUGGGCGUAAAGCGCACGUAGGCGGACUUUUAAGUCAGGGGUGAAAUCCCAAGGCUCAACCUUGGAACUGCCUUUGAUACUGGAAGUCUUGAGACCGAGAGAGGUGAGUGGAAUUCCUAGUGUAGAGGUGAAAUUCGUAGAUAUUAGGAAGAACACCAGUGGCGAAGGCGGCUCACUGGCUCGGUACUGACGCUGAGGUGAGAAAGCGUGGGGAGCAAACAGG
rnacentral:rRNA from 1 species